rnacentral:rRNA from 1 species
UACGGAGGGUGCAAGCGUUAUCCGGAUUCACUGGGUUUAAAGGGUGCGUAGGUGGGCAGGUAAGUCAGUGGUGAAAUCUCUGGGCUUAACCCGGAAACUGCCGUUGAUACUAUCUGUCUUGAAUAUUGUGGAGGUGAGCGGAAUAUGUCAUGUAGCGGUGAAAUGCUUAGAUAUGACAUAGAACACCAAUUGCGAAGGCAGCUCACUACACAAUUAUUGACGCUGAGGCACGAAAGCGUGGGGAUCAAACAGG